AUUGAACGCUGGCGGCAUGCUUUACACAUGCAAGUCGAACGGUAACAGGCCUUCGGGUGCUGACGAGUGGCGAACGGGUGAGUAAUGCAUUGGAACGUGCCCAGAGGUGGGGGAUAACGCAGCGAAAGCUGUGCUAAUACCGCAUGUGAUCUGAGGAUGAAAGCGGGGGACCAAGCAGCAAUGUUUGGCCUCGCGCCUCUGGAGCGGCCGAUGUCAGAUUAGGUAGUUGGUGGGGUAAAGGCCUACCAAGCCGACGAUCUGUAGCUGGUCUGAGAGGACGACCAGCCACACUGGGACUGAGACACGGCCCAGACUCCUACGGGAGGCAGCAGUGGGGAAUUUUGGACAAUGGGCGCAAGCCUGAUCCAGCAAUGCCGCGUGCGGGAAGAAGGCCUUCGGGUUGUAAACCGCUUUUGUACGGAACGAAAAGGCUCUGGCUAAUACCUGGGGCUGAUGACGGUACCGUAAGAAUAAGCACCGGCUAACUACGUG
rnacentral:rRNA from 1 species